rnacentral:rRNA from 2 species
UAAUUCGAAGCAACGCGAAGAACCUUACCAGGUCUUGACAUCCUCUGACACUCCUAGAGAUAGGACGUUCCCCUUCGGGGGACAGAGUGACAGGUGGUGCAUGGUUGUCGUCAGCUCGUGUCGUGAGAUGUUGGGUUAAGUCCCGCAACGAGCGCAACCCUUGAUCUUAGUUGCCAGCAUUAAGUUGGGCACUUUAAGGUGACUGCCGGUGACAAACCGGAGGAAGGUGGGGAUGACGUCAAAUCAUCAUGCCCCUUAUGACCUGGGCUACACACGUGCUACAAUGGAUGGUACAAAGGGCAGCAAAACCGCGAGGUCGAGCAAAUCCCAUAAAACCAUUCUCAGUUCGGAUUGUAGGCUGCAACUCGCCUACAUGAAGCUGGAAUCGCUAGUAAUCGCGGAUCAGCAUGCCGCGGUGAAUACGUUCCCGGGCCUUGUACACACCGCCCGUCACACCACGAGAGU